rnacentral:rRNA from 1 species
CAGUCGCCACGGGAAUACAGAGGUCCCGAGCGUUGUUCGGAUUCAUUGGGUGUAAAGGGUGUGUAGGAGGCCAGGUAAGUCAGGUGUGAAAUCUCAGAGCUUAACUCUGAAACUGCGCUUGAUACUGCUUGGCUAGAGGGUCGGAGGGGGUAACGGAAUUUAUGGUGUAGCAGUGAAAUGCGUAGAUAUCAUAAGGAACACCGGUGGCGAAGGCGGUUACCUGGAAGAUUCCUGACUCUGAAACGCGAAAGCCAGGGGAGCAAGCGGGAUUAGAGACCCGAGUAGUCCCUGUCUCUUAUAC